rnacentral:rRNA from 1 species
GGAGAAAAGCAGGGGAUCGCAAGACCUUGCGCUUUUGGAGCGGCCGAUGUCUGAUUAGCUAGUUGGUGGGGUAAUGGCUUACCAAGGCUUCGAUCAGUAGCUGGUCUGAGAGGACGACCAGCCACACUGGGACUGAGACACGGCCCAGACUCCUACGGGAGGCAGCAGUGGGGAAUUUUGGACAAUGGGGGAAACCCUGAUCCAGCCAUGCCGCGUGAGUGAAGAAGGCCUUCGGGUUGUAAAGCUCUUUCAGCCGGAACGAAAAGGUCACGGCUAAUACCCGUGACAAAUGACGGUACCGGAAGAAGAAGCACCGGCUAACUACGUGCCAGCAGCCGCGGUAAUACGUAGGGUGCAAGCGUUAAUCGGAAUUACUGGGCGUAAAGCGUGCGCAGGCGGUUUUGUAAGUCAGAUGUGAAAUCCCCGGGCUUAACCUGGGAACUGCGUUUGAAACUACAAAGCUAG